UACGUAGGGUGCAAGCGUUGUCCGGAAUCAUUGGGCGUAAAGAGCUCGUAGGCGGUUCGUCGCGUCGGGCUGUGAAAUCCCGAGGCUCAACCUCGGGUCUGCAGUCGAUACGGGCGGACUGGAGUUCGGCAGGGGAGACUGGAAUUCCUGGUGUAGCGGUGAAAUGCGCAGAUAUCAGGAGGAACACCGGUGGCGAAGGCGGGUCUCUGGGCCGGAAACUGACGCUGAGGAGCGAAAGCGUGGGGAGCGAACAGG
rnacentral:rRNA from 1 species